CAGUCGCCGCGGUAAUACGGAGGGAGCUAGCGUUGUUCGGAAUUACUGGGCGUAAAGCGCACGUAGGCGGCUUUGUAAGUUAGAGGUGAAAGCCUGGAGCUCAACUCCAGAAUUGCCUUUAAGACUGCAUCGCUUGAAUCCGGGAGAGGUGAGUGGAAUUCCGAGUGUAGAGGUGAAAUUCGUAGAUAUUCGGAAGAACACCAGUGGCGAAGGCGGCUCACUGGACCGGCAUUGACGCUGAGGUGCGAAAGCGUGGGGAGCAAACAGGAUUAGAUACCCCAGUAGUCCCUGUCUCUUAUAA
rnacentral:rRNA from 1 species